GCGUGCGUAGUUUAAUGGUAGAAUCUUCGCCUUCCAAGCGAAGGGCCGGGGUUCGAUUCCCCGCGCACGCA
rnacentral:tRNA from 1 species